rnacentral:lncRNA from 1 species
AACGACCGGGCCUCUUCCGGAGGCCUGCGGCAGAGUCGCCUAAGCAUUUGAAUGGAUCUCAGCCCUAGGACCCUGGCGCCCUCGGAAACCGGAUCUGAGGUCCUGAUCACUAACGUUCAGAGAUGCGAGGGAAGCAGAGAAGUUGCCGAAAGGGGCUGAGAGCUGCUUCUCCUUCUCCCUGGGCAGCAAACCUCCAAGCCUGUGCGGGCCAAUCUUUGCAUCCUGGUAACCAGCGCUUUAUUUAGCGCCUAAUCGCUUUCCUGUCCUGCAAUGGAGACUGAGGGGCAGAGGAGAGUGCAGCUUCCAAGAUCUCAAGGCUAGUAAUUGGUGAGAAAAUUCUGCACAGAACCAUUCCCAGAGGUGAGACUGUUUUUGUCCUUCAGCCCGGGAAAGGCAGACCUGGCUCCCUCCUUUUAUUUGCAAGCCUCAAAACCAUCAAGCCAGGCAAAGACACUCGAAGGGCGCGGACCUUCGCUGAGACGCCACCCACGCAAGUGGAGGAAGCACUUGCGCCACUGCUGAGCGGUUGGAAGGGGAACACUGCAGCGAUGACCCACGAGGGUCAACGAGACCAGGUGCCCAUUAGGGAAACAGAGAUGGAGAAGAAAUCACGCGCCAAGGUCUGAAAUUCGGCGUGGCUCUCACUCGACAUCUCCCCAUUGUCGCCACCCGUGCACCAGCCUGCAGCGGCGCACCAGGCUCGGUGCUGCACCUGCCUCCUGGCGCCUGCGCCACUGCCCCCGCGCGGGUCCCACCGCGCAGGACGCCCCUUCCUGCUUCCGACGUCUGCUGUGGAUCACACGCGGUCGCUGCCAAAGCCUCCAUUUCGGUUCUGACCCAGUGACUUUGGGGACGCCCAGGGAGGAGAUGUGGAGAGGAUGUGGCCAAGGUGAACCAGCCAGUGUAAGUGCUAAUGCUUCUGGCUUCUCGGUAACACCUACCCUGCCCCACCACCCAAAUCAGGCCUUGAUCAAAAAAGAAGCGUCUUGACAAUAUAUUUUUAGACAUAAAUAAGUUGAAGGUGCCCACGGAGGGAGGUUGAAAACAUUUGAUUAUCAGGACAGAGUAGAAGCCUCUUUGGCUCAUCCUUUUGGCCAGCUCUAAAGCAGCAGUGGACACUUCUUUGCGAUUUUGCAAGGAUGUUUGCGAAUGCGCUUUGUAACUCCUAGAAAAUAGGCAAAAAACCGUGAGUGGAUGUAGUCGCACCGCUGGCACCUGUAAGAACGCGCCCUAAAGCUGUGGAAAGUCUGGUCUUACUGCUAUUCAGGUUCCAGGCACACGUCUCAAGCCUCAAACCUCCAAGAGUUGCCUUAGCUGCUCAUUUUACUGGUAAGAAGACGGAGGUCAAGCCUGAAGAUAGUGGCUCUGCUGUUUUCUUUAGGCUGCUUGAAGCUUUAGAUAAGCAGGAAAAUUCCAUCAAAGAAAUCCCUGUAUGUAAAUUGGGAGAAAAAGAUAUGAUGAAUAUUAAUGCAGAGGCCUCUGAACAAAUGGAACCUCCAUUUUCACAUCCAGCACAGGAUCAUUUGCAGCCAGACAACCUGAGAGUCAACCCCAACUCUACCUUUUACUAAUUGCAUGAUAUUGGGCCUCAGUUUGCUCAUCUGUAAAUUGGGUGCAGUGAUAGAAUCUAUCCCACAGGGUUUUGCUGAGCAUUAAAUGAGUUUAAACUUGUAGAUGGCUUAGAAUAAUGCCUGGCAUAUAACAAGUACUCAGUUACUGGCGCCUGGUGUAAGUACUCGAUAUACAUUAACUAUUUUUCAAAGACACCACAGCUCACCUGGGAAGGAAUCUCAGGUAUUUGCCUGAGAUUCAAGCAAACAAAUAUGGAAGCUACCAAAGGCUCAUGAAGCCUGAAGGAUCCUUGCAGAGAGAUGUUCUAAAUGUUGCCUAGAAAGGCAGUUUGGAGGGAGGCCUCUCCAGUCUGAGGUCUGGAUGCUAAGUUUUACUCUGCCACAUAUUAGUCAGGUAAUUUUGAAGUAAUAAACAAUCUCUUUGUGCCUCCAUUUCUUCUUGUGUAAAAUGAGGGGCUGUUGUGAAGAUUAAAUAAAUACAUGUAAAGCAUUUAAAGCCAGACCUGGCAGAAAGGGUGCUUUAUGUUUGCUUUAAAAAUGUAUAUGUACAACAUUU